GAGAUCAGAAACAUGGUGUCCUUGCAAAAGUGGAAAGAGGCCAGGCCUUGUCUUAUAGACAAAAUGUUAUCUACUCUGGAUCCACAGUCACACCGUGUGUGUCAGUGUGGCAAACAAGUAGUUGUGAGGUGUCUGGACUGCCUGCCUCUUCCAUUCCUUUGUGCUGACUGUGAUAUUGCAGUUCACACACGCUUUGUCCUGCACAACCAAGAGGCAGUAACAGGAGGGUUUUUGCAGCCUUCAUCAGAGUUUCACAAGCCAAUAGUUCGGCUGUUGCCUGUGCAAAGGCCAGACCAUGUGUGUGACUGCCAAGCAGGUAACGUUGAGGUUUCACCCGGCGCAGUUGUGGCUCUUGUAACCAUAAAUGGUUGCCCUUUUGUCACACACUACAUACACAAUAGAUGUGUUUGCAGGUUUUAGUGCAAAUUGUACAUUGCUAUCAUCAUUGUUUAUUUAUAUAGCACUUUAAAAACACACAAGGCUGACCAAAGUGCUGAACAAUAGAAACAUAAUAGAUACAUCUAUAAGAAUUGCUAUCUUGUUUUGAAUUACCCUCGGCCUGCAGUAUAUGUGGGCACCUGUCAAAGGUCAUUUGGAUUUACUUUGCUUUGCUUUGAAAACAACAUGAAAUCUUCACAACAUGAAAAAAAUGAAUGCUUUGACCCAUGACUGAAUUUAUCCUUAUCCUUUCUAAAGGCCGUUAUAACCUUGCACUGCCAGUGGUGAGCUGCACCAGCUGUGACUUAAUGUGGUCCCCCUCAGUUAAGGACAUCCUGGGUAGUGGAUAUUGGCCUGGCACCUUAAAUUUCUGCACCCUGUUUUCAAUGGAUGCCUUUCAGUCUUUCUAUGACAUUAAGAAGGCUGCACCAGGGAUGUCACUUAAGGCAUUUGUCAAAAUGCUGGAUGAAAGAACAGCCCAUUUUUGAAGGACUGGCCGAAUAUCAGCUGAUGCCUUCAGUAAAAGCUUUGUGGAGUGGAGUGCUGUUUGAGAUGGACAGGAUGUGCAAGGAGCCAUGCGUUAGCUGCCCUGCCUGCACUCCAGACGUGCUUGCCGUCUCAGUUGAUGGAAACUGGAAGCUUUAUCGCAUUCAAUCAAAUACAAGCACUUCAGAGCAGGCGAACUUUGAAGGUGUCUUCAUUGAAAAAGAUGAGGAAGUUGCUGAGUUUAUGAAAUACAUCCAGAGACACACAAAUGAUCGUCCCAGGACAUAUUACUUUCCUUUGCUCCGAUGUGUCCUGUAAAUAUUUCCCAUAUUUAAUCAAGGUGGCUCAGCUGAGGAACCUCUUGUCAAUGCGUCCAUUUCUCUCCGUCAUGCAUGCAAAGGCUCUCAUUUGGAAAUGCGAGGGCGAACAGACAUGCUGACCCUCCUGGCUUUGGGGUGGACCAAAAGGAAAGUGGAACAACUGGGCCGCAGUUUGAGCCAGAGAUAUCUAAAGAUCAUAAGGAUCCUUAGAGAACAAAUGGAGAGCCUGAAUAUGACCAGAAAUGAGCUGGGUGUGGAUGACGACACACUGCAGCAAUGGGUGGCCGAUGUGCAGAAAUGGGCUGAAAGUGAGUCUCAAUAUAACACACUCGUGUAUAACAAUAGGACCCACCAUGGCCUCAUUAAAGAACUUAAGGUAGAGUUAAUAUCUUUCUGACAGUGUCAACAAACAAAGAAAAAUAAGCCUUGUAAAAGUGGAAUUUAUGGCAGAGUUUUUGCGUUUCAUCAAAUUGGAUUGAACCUGGGUUGAAAUGAUGUCGUACUAGUUGGUUUUAUAAACCUGAACACCGACAUACUUGUUAUCUAAUGAUAAUGCAGCACAUGAAGGCUACAGAUGUCUUAUAAUGAAUAUCAUCAAGUCAGUGAUUACAGAGUCCACUGUAGUUUGGUGACUGUUACUCAUCCUGUAUUCUGAUUAAU